UAUAAAAUAUUUUGAUGAAUAUUUAUAUAAUAUUAACAUAAUUCAUAUUACUAUUUUUUUUUUUAGUAUAUGAAAUUUUACUUUGAGAAAAUUAGAGUGCUUAAAGCAGGCAUAUGCCUUGAAUACUCCAGCAUGGAAUAAUAUUAAAGAUUUUUAUCUUUUUUAUUGGUUCUAAGAUAAGAAUAAUGAUUAAUAGGGACAGUUGGGGGCAUUUGUAUUUAACAGUCAGAGGUGAAAUUCUUAGAUUUGUUAAAGACAAACUAAUGCGAAAGCAUUUGCCAAGGAUGUUUUCAUUAAUCAAGAACGAAAGUUAGGGGAUCGAAGACGAUCAGAUACCGUCGUAGUCUUAACCAUAAACUAUGCCAAC
rnacentral:rRNA from 1 species